rnacentral:lncRNA from 1 species
CACACUGCUCAUCUUGGUACUAAGAUUGCUAAAAGAUAAACCUUCCUCUUUAGUAACAACUAUCUCCAACCUGUCCUUUGUUUUGUUUCAUAAUAUGUGGUAGCCACCUCUCUUUUCCUUUCCUUCUAAAAGUUAGUCAUAAAAAAUUAUUUUACAGUAAAUUCGUUUACAUCUACCUACUAACAAUGUUAUUAAUUUUAAUUACAGGUUGCAUCUACUGGUCUGCUUCAGAUAUUGAUGAUAGGUAGAUAUGUUUAUAAGGAACUUGCGACUUUUGUGUGCGAGAUAACUAAAUAGAAGCAACUAAGAACAAUAUAACGCCUUUUAUGUGAUGCUUUUGGUUGGUCCUAUGAAUUGGUUUACACGUAACAGGUUCCUUUUGUGAAUGUAAAGGUGAUAA